rnacentral:rRNA from 1 species
UACGGAGGGUGCAAGCGUUAUCCGGAUUCACUGGGUUUAAAGGGUGCGUAGGAGGGCAGGUAAGUCAGUGGUGAAAUCUCCGGGCUUAACUCGGAAACUGCCGUUGAUACUAUCUGUCUUGAAUAUUGUGGAGGUGAGCGGAAUAUGUCAUGUAGCGGUGAAAUGCUUAGAUAUGACAUAGAACACCAAUUGCGAAGGCAGCUCGCUACACAUAUAUUGACUCUGAGGCACGAAAGCGUGGGGAGUCAAACAGGA